rnacentral:rRNA from 1 species
GGCAGAGAUGCUGUGCCUCGGAACGCUGAGACAGGUGCUGCAUGGCUGUCGUCAGCUCGUGUUGUGAAAUGUUGGGUUAAGUCCCGNAACGAGCGCAACCCUUAUCCUUUGUUGCCAGCGAUUCGGUCGGGAACUCAAAGGAGACUGCCGGUGAUAAACCGGAGGAAGGUGGGGAUGACGUCAAGUCAUCAUGGCCCUUACGAGUAGGGCUACACACGUGCUACAAUGGCGCAUACAAAGAGAAGCGACCUCGCGAGAGCAAGCGGACCUCAUAAAGUGCGUCGUAGUCCGGAUCGGAGUCUGCAACUCGACUCCGUGAAGUCGGAAUCGCUAGUAAUCGUGGAUCAGAAUGCCACGGUGAAUACGUUCCCGGGCCUUGUACACACCGCCCGUCACACCAUGGGAGUGGGUUGCAAAAGAAGUAGGUAGCUUAACCCUCGGGAGGGCGCUUACCACUUUGUGAUUCAUGACUGGGGUGAAGUCGUAACAAGGUAAGCGUAGCGAG